GACGGAGGGUGCUAGCGUUGUUCGGAAUUACUGGGCGUAAAGGGCGCGUAGGCGGCCUGAUCAGUCGGGGGUGAAAGCCUGUGGCUCAACCACAGAAUGGCCUUCGAUACUGUCGGGCUUGAGACCGGAAGAGGUAAGUGGAACUGCGAGUGUAGAGGUGAAAUUCGUAGAUAUUCGCAAGAACACCAGUGGCGAAGGCGGCUUUCUGGUCCGAUUCUGACGCUGAGGCGCGAAAGCGUGGGGAGCAAACAGG
rnacentral:rRNA from 1 species